ensembl:lncRNA
CAGCAGUCUGUCUGCCUUUCCCUCCCCCUCUGCUGCUCUCCCUUCUUCCAGCUUUGUUUCUGGGAUGUCUGGGAGAAGGGUUUUGUUUGAUGGGUCUAUUUGCAAUGGGUGAGGUCCACCUUUCAGCAGUGCCACUCUCCACUCCAUCAGUGAAGCACUGGGACCUGGAGGUAUUGAGUUGCCCAGGGUCACGUGGGUUGUGGCAAAGAGCACCUGAGAAGAGAGGAUUACAGAUCCUGGGGCCCAGAUUUACUCCUGACAGAGACCAGCUGAAGAAAACAUUGUCAAAUGCAAGCAGGGAUGAACUCGCACUGUCUCUGAUACAAAUGUUCACAGGAGGAUGUUGCAAGGAUGGUCUUAGCUCAGCACUCAACCUGGGAGUGACAAGGGAAAAUGUGGGGGGUUACAGGAGCAAUUGGGUGGCGAUGUUGAUAGGGACAUGGCAAGUUACCUUUUGCUCAAAUUCUUGUUGAUCCAGUUCCAGAGACAAUUCUUACUCAAUUUCUAUUUCAGAAAAGCUCAUCCGUGAACUAAGGAGCUUGUAUACACGUGUUUAUCUCGUUAUUGCCUUGCCAGUGGAAUAGACUCUUUCUGUCAUUGACCCCAUUGGAAGACAUUCCUUGGUGUGGUUGGUGGGAUGAACUUCCAUAAGCAUUCUCUUGCUUGCAGCUCUCAAUUCAAACCAAAAAGCCUCUAGUGGAAAAAGUUGAACGUGACUGGGUGUGCUCCAGCUGACGUGGGCUGGGGGCUGUUCACACUGGCAACAGAGUUGGCAAACUGAUGAGAGAUGAGCGAAUAACAUCCAAUCCCAGAGCUGUGUGAAGCUGCUUGGGGCGAGGGGUUGGCUGGAGGAAGGCAUAUGAUUAAGUGUGAUAUUAAAGCUGAAUGGAAGUGAAGGGUCUGACUGCUGAUUCCACAGAAGCACUGAAGAAAGAGUGAAUUCUCUAUAAGAUUUCCUGAGAGGUUUUUUGUUCCCCAGCAGGAAGGCUGCAGGACAUCUCAGUUAAAGGCUGGCCUAUCUGCAGAGACCAUGUGUGAUGGCUUUCCCAGAGCCAACGUCUGUUUCCCCCCCCAACUCCCCAGUAGCUUCCUGCCAGAGCUCCUUGCCUCCAAGGAUGUUGGCUUGGCAGGUUGCCUUGGUUCUCCCUGGAUCAUGGGAUCACUGGGUGAGUCAAUUUGGAAAGGUCUUCAGGAGGUCUCUGUCCAGCCUCCUGCUUCACACAUGAGCUCAUGCAGGGUUUCUCAGGGCUGUACUUGGGUUGUUGGAUAUUUACAUGUAUUAUAGCAGUAGAGACUGCUGCUCCUGUGGUCUGUUGUUUGAUUUGUGCUCUCUGGUUCCUUGGUUGGCCAAAGCCAAAGAUGGCUGACUGUCAAAUGCAGCAUCUUCUAGAUUGCUCAGGUAGGAGAAGCUGUGUUACCAAACUAAGCUGCCCCCAAGUUUCACGUUCAUUCUCCCCAGCAUGAGCUGUUUUGCAUCUUUCUCCCUCCUCCUUUCCCCUCUAACAAAGCUUUCUGUUUCUGUCUUACUGUCUUUGUG